UGACUUCCGGUUUAUUUCCGGGUUAUAACGAAGUAUAAUAACAGCGAUAAAUAUGGACCAAUUAUCAUUCCAGAUAUGAUUCAAAUAUGCUGAUGUUAUCUACUGAGACCAUCACUUAUAUUUAUGAAGUACAUCACUACAAUCGGUUGGGCUGCUAGAUUGGUAGCAGCAUGAUGUAAGCUAGUGCCUGUUGAAACUCUAUUGUUGGUUGGGCAUCUAUUGCUUACUGGACCGCUAUAUUGGAUGGACCAUACAUGUUGGUGUAACAACAGUUACUAUAAAUGGUUGGACCGGAAGUGUUUGUUGGACCACCAUUGUUUUUUUGGACUGCUUGUUGGACAGAAUGUGUGAUGGACAACUAGUAUUAUUUGAAUCACUGUUGGAUAGACAGCUUUUGUUUUAUCAGACAGCUAUAAUUAGUUGAUUUACAAGUUCCUGGAUCGCUAGUUCCUGGCGGAUAAAUAUUCCCUGUAUAGAAGGAAACAAAAAAGCUCUUUUGCUAACUGUAACAAUGACAUGGUUGGUGAAUUGGUAUCAGACAAUUUGCAGCCAAGACAACACAGUGAAGUGAUAGCUGAUUCUUUAAACUCUAUAUGGCAAAUAAAUUUACCGAAAAUA